rnacentral:tRNA from 1 species
GGCUUUUGUAGCUCAGUUGGUAGAGCACUACACUUUUAAUGUAGCCAAAAUGGACUCAAAAUCCGUUUUUAUGAAGUUUGGAUUAUCUUCUAAAACUA